GGCGCGCGAUACAGGGUGACAGCCCCGUACACAAAAAUGCACAUGCUGUGAGCUCGAUGAGUAGGGCGGGACACGUGGUAUCCUGUCUGAAUAUGGGGGGACCAUCCUCCAAGGCUAAAUACUCCUGACUGACCGAUAGUGAACCAGUACCGUGAGGGAAAGGCGAAAAGAACCCCGGCGAGGGGAGUGAAAAAGAACCUGAAACCGUGUACGUACAAGCAGUGGGAGCACGCUUCGGCGUGUGACUGCGUACCUUUUGUAUAAUGGGUCAGCGACUUAUAUUCUGUAGCAAGGUUAACCGAAUAGGGGAGCCGAAGGGAAACCGAGUCUUAACUGGGCGUUAAGUUGCAGGGUAUAGACCCGAAACCCGGUGAUCUAGCCAUGGGCAGGUUGAAGGUUGGGUAACACUAACUGGAGGACCGAACCGACUAAUGUUGAAAAAUUAGCGGAUGACUUGUGGCUGGGGGUGAAAGGCCAAUCAAACCGGGAGAUAGCUGGUUCUCCCCGAAAGCUAUUUAGGUAGCGCCUCGUGAAUUCAUCUCCGGGGGUAGAGCACUGUUUCGGCAAGGGGGUCAUCCCGACUUACCAACCCGAUGCAAACUGCGAAUACCGGAGAAUGUUAUCACGGGAGACACACGGCGGGUGCUAACGUCCGUCGUGAAGAGGGAAACAACCCAGACCGCCAGCUAAGGUCCCAAAGUCAUGGUUAAGUGGGAAACGAUGUGGGAAGGCCCAGACAGCCAGGAUGUUGGCUUAGAAGCAGCCAUCAUUUAAAGAAAGCGUAAUAGCUCACUGGUCGAGUCGGCCUGCGCGGAAGAUGUAACGGGGCUAAACCAUGCACCGAAGCUGCGGCAGCGACGCUUAUGCGUUGUUGGGUAGGGGAGCGUUCUGUAAGCCUGUGAAGGUGUGCUGUGAGGCAUGCUGGAGGUAUCAGAAGUGCGAAUGCUGACAUAAGUAACGAUAAAGCGGGUGAAAAGCCCGCUCGCCGGAAGACCAAGGGUUCCUGUCCAACGUUAAUCGGGGCAGGGUGAGUCGACCCCUAAGGCGAGGCCGAAAGGCGUAGUCGAUGGGAAACAGGUUAAUAUUCCUGUACUUGGUGUUACUGCGAAGGGGGGACGGAGAAGGCUAUGUUGGCCGGGCGACGGUUGUCCCGGUUUAAGCGUGUAGGCUGGUUUUCCAGGCAAAUCCGGAAAAUCAAGGCUGAGGCGUGAUGACGAGGCACUACGGUGCUGAAGCAACAAAUGCCCUGCUUCCAGGAAAAGCCUCUAAGCAUCAGGUAACAUCAAAUCGUACCCCAAACCGACACAGGUGGUCAGGUAGAGAAUACCAAGGCGCUUGAGAGAACUCGGGUGAAGGAACUAGGCAAAAUGGUGCCGUAACUUCGGGAGAAGGCACGCUGAUAUGUAGGUGAAGUCCCUCGCGGAUGGAGCUGAAAUCAGUCGAAGAUACCAGCUGGCUGCAACUGUUUAUUAAAAACACAGCACUGUGCAAACACGAAAGUGGACGUAUACGGUGUGACGCCUGCCCGGUGCCGGAAGGUUAAUUGAUGGGGUCAGCGCAAGCGAAGCUCUUGAUCGAAGCCCCGGUAAACGGCGGCCGUAACUAUAACGGUCCUAAGGUAGCGAAAUUCCUUGUCGGGUAAGUUCCGACCUGCACGAAUGGCGUAAUGAUGGCCAGGCUGUCUCCACCCGAGACUCAGUGAAAUUGAACUCGCUGUGAAGAUGCAGUGUACCCGCGGCAAGACGGAAAGACCCCGUGAACCUUUACUAUAGCUUGACACUGAACAUUGAGCCUUGAUGUGUAGGAUAGGUGGGAGGCUUUGAAGUGUGGACGCCAGUCUGCAUGGAGCCGACCUUGAAAUACCACCCUUUAAUGUUUGAUGUUCUAACGUUGACCCGUAAUCCGGGUUGCGGACAGUGUCUGGUGGGUAGUUUGACUGGGGCGGUCUCCUCCUAAAGAGUAACGGAGGAGCACGAAGGUUGGCUAAUCCUGGUCGGACAUCAGGAGGUUAGUGCAAUGGCAUAAGCCAGCUUGACUGCGAGCGUGACGGCGCGAGCAGGUGCGAAAGCAGGUCAUAGUGAUCCGGUGGUUCUGAAUGGAAGGGCCAUCGCUCAACGGAUAAAAGGUACUCCGGGGAUAACAGGCUGAUACCGCCCAAGAGUUCAUAUCGACGGCGGUGUUUGGCACCUCGAUGUCGGCUCAUCACAUCCUGGGGCUGAAGUAGGUCCCAAGGGUAUGGCUGUUCGCCAUUUAAAGUGGUACGCGAGCUGGGUUUAGAACGUCGUGAGACAGUUCGGUCCCUAUCUGCCGUGGGCGCUGGAGAACUGAGGGGGGCUGCUCCUAGUACGAGAGGACCGGAGUGGACGCAUCACUGGUGUUCGGGUUGUCAUGCCAAUGGCACUGCCCGGUAGCUAAAUGCGGAAGAGAUAAGUGCUGAAAGCAUCUAAGCACGAAACUUGCC
rnacentral:rRNA from 1 species